AUGCACGCUGGCGGCGUGCCUAAUCCCUGCAAGUCGCGCGAACGGACGAGAAGCUUGCUUCUCUGAUGUUAGCGGCGGACGGGUGAGUAACACGUGGAUAACCUACCUAUAAGACUGGGAUAACUUCGGGAAACCGGAGCUAAUACCGGAUAAUAUUUUGAACCGCAUGGUUCAAAAGUAAAAGACGGUCUUGCUGUCACUUAUAGAUGGAUCCGCGCUGCAUUAGCUAGUUGGUAAGGUAACGGCUUACCAAGGCAACGAUGCAUAGCCGACCUGAGAGGGUGAUCGGCCACACUGGAACUGAGACACGGUCCAGACUCCUACGGGAGGCAGCAGUAGGGAAUCUUCCGCAAUGGGCGAAAGCCUGACGGAGCAACGCCGCGUGAGUGAUGAAGGUCUUCGGAUCGUAAAACUCUGUUAUUAGGGAAGAACAUAUGUGUAAGUAACUGUGCACAUCUUGACGGUACCUAAUCAGAAAGCCACGGCUAACUACGUG
rnacentral:rRNA from 1 species